rnacentral:rRNA from 1 species
CAGUGGGGAAGUAUUGCACAAUGGGGGAAACCCUGAUGCAGCCAUGCCGCGUGUGUGAAGAAGGCCUUCGGGUUGUAAAGCACUUUCAGUAGGGAGGAAGGUAGUGUAGUUAACACCUGCAUUAUUUGACGUUACCUACAGAAGAAGCACCGGCUAACUCCGUGCCAGCAGCCGCGGUAAUACGGAGGGUGCGAGCGUUAAUCGGAAUUACUGGGCGUAAAGCGCAUGCAGGCGGCCUGUUAAGUCAGAUGUGAAAGCCCGGGGCUUAACCUCGGAAUUGCAUUUGAAACUGGCAGGCUAGAGUCUUGUAGAGGGGGUAGAAUUUCAGGUGUAGCGGUGAAAAUGCGUAGAGAUCUGAAGGAAUACCAGUGGCGAAGGCGGCCCCCCUGGACAAAGACUGACGCUCAGAUGCGAAAGCGUGGGGAGCAAACAGGAUUAGAUACCCUGGUAG